AUUGAACGCUGGCGGCAGGCCUAACACAUGCAAGUCGAGCGGUAGCACAAGAGAGCUUGCUCUCUGGGUGACGAGCGGCGGACGGGUGAGUAAUGUCUGGGAAACUGCCUGAUGGAGGGGGAUAACUACUGGAAACGGUAGCUAAUACCGCAUAACGUCGCAAGACCAAAGAGGGGGACCUUCGGGCCUCUUGCCAUCAGAUGUGCCCAGAUGGGAUUAGCUAGUAGGUGGGGUAAUGGCUCACCUAGGCGACGAUCCCUAGCUGGUCUGAGAGGAUGACCAGCCACACUGGAACUGAGACACGGUCCAGACUCCUACGGGAGGCAGCAGUGGGGAAUAUUGCACAAUGGGCGCAAGCCUGAUGCAGCCAUGCCGCGUGUGUGAAGAAGGCCUUCGGGUUGUAAAGCGCUUUCAGCGAGGAGGAAGGCGGUGAGGUUAAUAACCUCAUCGAUUGACGUUACUCGCAGAAGAAGCACCGGCUAACUCCGUGCCAGCCGCCGCCGUAA
rnacentral:rRNA from 1 species